UAAAACAAACAAAGAAGUGUGAUUUUUGGGUGUUAAUUAAAGUGGUAAAAUGAGGAGUGGACAGUAAAACUCGUCAUUAUCAAAUUAUUGCAUGAACUUAUGCGUGAGCUGAGUCAAAUAUUUAACAAAUUAUGGGCAUAAUAACGAUUAUAUUUAGGUAUUAUUUUACUAAUUUUAUUAAUUCCAACUAACAUAAACAACGUGCUGAUGAUGAUGAGUCCAGCAGGGAUUCUCAGUAAGAGAUGUGCUGUAGGCACGCAAUCAUUUUGUUAUUAGCAUUUCUAACAAAGUAAAUUAAUAACAAGGUAGCAGACAAAAUACUAAUAGUAAUACUGUUCGUGCAAAAUUCGAUUCAUAUGUGUGCCAAUUAUUGUAUGUGUAUAAUAAUUGUUGAUAGUCAUAGAUUUAUUAAGAAUGAGCUAACACAAAAUAUGUCCAAGUUUAGCCAAGUUCUGGACUUAACUUUUAAAGUAUUCAUUAACUUAACAGACAUCAAUCCUUAAUUCGAAAUUUUAGGUGCUUUUGGAUAUUAUCUCAUUACUGGUUUUUUGAACAUCAAUGUAAGUGGCAUGUGCAUGUAAGUUCACGAGUUUUGAGCUUAGCAACAAUUUCAUAUUUAUAGCUGUUUCUACGACGGUUAGGGAUGUUUCAAGUUAGCGUGUAGAGCUGCGUGCACUGGUCUACGCAAGGUGCGGCGCUGCGCAGACGCCGGCGGUAAAUGUCACGGAGAGGUCGCUGUACUGCGCACCUGUCUGUCUGCUGUUCCAGGCUUGCUAUCUGCUAGUCAAUACCUAUGUGCUAUAAGGUCAUUGCAGUCGUGAAAUGGCCUGGACUGGCCAUCUACUUGAAAACUUCAUGAAACCUUUUUUUUCAUAUUUUUAACAUAUUGGAAUUUAUAAUAAAAUGGUAAUAAAAUGUCUUCAAUCUUA